rnacentral:rRNA from 1 species
CAGUAGCCGCGGGAAUACGUAGGGUCCGAGCGUUGUCCGGAAUUAUUGGGCGUAAAGGGCUCGUAGGCGGUUUGUCGCGUCGGGAGUGAAAGCCAGCAGCUUAACUGCUGGUCUGCUUUCGAUACGGGCAGACUUGAGGCAUUCAGGGGAGAACGGAAUUCCUGGUGUAGCGGUGAAAUGCGCAGAUAUCAGGAGGAACACCGGUGGCGAAGGCGGUUCUCUGGGAAUGUUCUGACGCUGAGGAGCGAAAGUGUGGGGAGCGAACAGGAUUAGAUACCCCGGUAGUCCCUGUCUCUUAUAC